UACGAAGGGGGCUAGCGUUGUUCGGAAUUACUGGGCGUAAAGCGCACGUAGGCGGAUAUUUAAGUCAGGGGUGAAAUCCCAGAGCUCAACUCUGGAACUGCCUUUGAUACUGGGUAUCUCGAGUAUGGAAGAGGUGAGUGGAAUUCCGAGUGUAGAGGUGAAAUUCGUAGAUAUUCGGAAGAACACCAGUGGCGAAAGGCG
rnacentral:rRNA from 1 species